UACGGAGGGGGCUAGCGUUGUUCGGAAUUACUGGGCGUAAAGGGCGCGUAGGCGGCGCGAUAAGUUGGGCGUGAAAGGCCCGGGCUCAACCCGGGGACUGCGCUUGAUACUGUCGCGCUGUGAGUCCGGGAGAGGAUGGCGGAAUUCCCAGUGUAGCGGUGAAAUGCGCAGAUAUCGGGAGGAACACCGGUGGCGAAGGCGGUUCUCUGGGCCUUACCUGACGCUGAGGAGCGAAAGCGUGGGGAGCGAACAGG
rnacentral:rRNA from 1 species